rnacentral:tRNA from 2 species
CGCGGGAUGGAGCAGUCUGGAAGCUCGUUGGGCUCAUAACCCAAAGGCCGCAGGUUCAAAUCCUGCUCCCGCUA